UCCGGUUUGUCACCGGCGGUCCCCUUAGAGUUCCCAACUAAAUGCUGGCAACUAAAGACGAGGGUUGCGCUCGUUGCGGGACCUAACCCAACAUCUCACGACACGAGCUGACGACAGCCAUGCAGCACCUGUGUGUAGGCCCCGUAAGGGGAGGAAUCCAUCUCUGGAAGCCGUCGUGGCAUGUCAAGGGCUGGUAAGGUUCUUCGCGUUGCUUCGAAUUGAACCACAUGCUCCACCGCUUGUGCGGGUCCCCGUCAAUUCCUUUGAGUUUUAAUCUUGCGACCGUACUCCCCAGGCGGUCGACUUCACGCGUUAGCUGCGGUACUAAGGAAGUCUCCUUCCCCAACACCUAGUCGACAUCGUUUAGGGCGUGGACUAC
rnacentral:misc_RNA from 1 species